rnacentral:rRNA from 1 species
AAGAUUAAGCCAUGCAUGUCUAAGUACGAGCCUCGGUACAUAGCGAAACUGCGAAUGGCUCAUUAAAUCAGUUAUGGUUCCUUUGAUCGUUACCCCUUACUCGGAUAACUGUGGUAAUUCUAGAGCUAAUACAUGCCUACUUCGGCGCUGACCUCGCGGGAUGCGUGCUUUUAUUAGGACCAAGACCGACCCGGUGUCCCGUCUCUUCACGGGGGCGGGCCCGGUCCCCCUUGGCGAACUCUGGAUAACUUGGCGGAUCGCACGGCCUCUGCGCCGGCGACGAAUCUUUCGAGUGUCUGCCCUAUCAACUUUCGACGGUACGUUAUGCGCCUACCGUGGUGGCAACGGGUAACGGGGAAUCAGGGUUCGAUUCCGGAGAGGGAGCCUGAGAAACGGCUACCACAUCCAAGGAAGGACAGGCGCGCAAAUUACCCAUUCCCGACCGGGGAGGUAUGACAAAUCCGAUGAACCCUUCGUGCUAGGGAUAGGGAAUUGUAAUUAUUUCCCUUGAACGAGGAAUUCCCAGUAGGCACGAGUCAUAAGCUCGUGUCGAUUACGUCCCUGCCCUUUGUACACACCGCCCGUCGCUACUACCGAUUGAACGGUUUAGUGAGAUCAUCGGAUCGGCACACGCCGGGGACUGGUCCGCCGGCCUCGCUCGCGUGCCGAGAAGACGCUCGAACUGAUCGUUUAGAGGAAGUAAAAGU